CCCCCGAUAGCUCAGUUGGCAGAGCGGAGGACUGUAGAUGGUUUCAGCAUAUCCUUAGGUCUCGUGUUCGACUCACGGUUGGGGGA
rnacentral:tRNA from 1 species